AUAUCUACCUGGUGCGGGGGCCUUGUUGAUUACGGAGGACGAUCCCCCAGUGAGAUGUGCGGGCAUUGCACUUCGGUCGCGUUUACCUUUGCCUCUAUCCCGAACUGGGCAGAUGGGCAAGCAAAGUGUUUCAAUCCGGUUGAACGCAACAGA
rnacentral:snRNA from 1 species